rnacentral:rRNA from 1 species
ACAAACCGGAGGAAGGCGGGGAAGACGUCAAAUCUCUUGACAUCUUCUGCCAGGCUGAGAGAUCAGCUGUUCCCUUCGGGGACAGAAUGACAGGUGGUGCAUGGUUGUCGUCAGCUCGUGUCGUGAGAUGUUGGGUUAAGUCCCGCAACGAGCGCAACCCUUAUGAUCAGUUGCCAGCAUUCAGUUGGGCACUCUGGUCAGACUGCCGGUGACAAACCGGAGGAAGGCGGGGAUGACGUCAAAUCAUCAUGCCCCUUAUGACCUGGGCUACACACGUGCUACAAUGGGUGGUACAACGAGCAGCGAGACCGCGAGGUCAAGCGAAUCUCUAAAAACCAUCCUCAGUUCGGAUUGCAGGCUGCAACUCGCCUGCAUGAAGCUGGAAUCGCUAGUAAUCGCGGAUCAGC